UGGGGAAUUGUUCGCAAUGGGCGCAAGCCUGACGACGCAACGCCGCGUGGAGGACGAAGAUCUUCGGGUCGUAAACUCCUGUCGAGCGGGAAGAAUGGGUGCGGGGUGAAUACCCUCGCAUCGUGACGGUACCGCUAAAGGAAGCCCCGGCUAACUCCGUGCCAGCAGCCGCGGUAAUACGGGGGGGGCAAGCGUUGUUCGGAAUUACUGGGCGUAAAGGGCUCGUAGGCGGCCAACUAAGUCGGAUGUGAAAUCCCCAGGCUCAACCUGGGAACUGCAUCCGAUACUGGAUGGCUUGAAUCCGGGAGAGGGAUGCAGAAUUCCAGGUGUAGCGGUGAAAUGCGUAGAUAUCUGGAGGAAUACCGGUGGCGAAGGCGGCAUCCUGGACCGGCAUUGACGCUGAGGAGCGAAAGCUAGGGGAGCAAACGG
rnacentral:rRNA from 1 species